rnacentral:rRNA from 1 species
CCUACGGGUGACAGCAGUGAGGAAUAUUGGUCAAUGGGCGCGAGCCUGAACCAGCCAAGUAGCGUGAAGGAUGACUGCCCUACGGGUUGUAAACUUCUUUUAUAAAGGAAUAAAGUGAGGCACGUGUGCCAUUUUGUAUGAACUUUAUGAAUAAGGAUCGGCUAACUCCGUGCCAGCAGCCGAGGUAAUACGGGGGUACCGAGCGUUAUCCGGAUUUAUUGGGUUUAAAGGGAGCGUAGCUGGGUUGUUAAGUCAGUUGUGCAAGUUUGCGGCUCAACCGUAAAAUUGCAAUUGUUCCUGGCAGUCUUGAGUACAGUUGAGGUAGGCGUAAUUCGUGGUGUAGCGGUGCAAUUCUUAGAUAUCACG